UACGAAGGGGGCUAGCGUUGCUCGGAAUCACUGGGCGUAAAGCGCACGUAGGCGGAUUGUUAAGUCAGGGGUGAAAUCCUGGAGCUCAACUCCAGAACUGCCUUUGAUACUGGAGAUCUUGAGUCCGGGAGAGGUGAGUGGAACUGCGAGUGUAGAGGUGAAAUUCGUAGAUAUUCGCAAGAACACCAGUGGCGAAGGCGGGUCUCUGGGCCGAUACUGACGCUGAGGAGCGAAAGCGUGGGGAGCGAACAGG
rnacentral:rRNA from 1 species